UCCCUGGUGGCUCAGACAGUAAAGAAUCUGCCUGCAGUGCAGGAGACCCAGGUUUGAUCCCUGGGUUGGGAA
rnacentral:tRNA from 1 species